rnacentral:misc_RNA from 1 species
UUAGGGAUUGCAGCGGAAAACCCACAGCCCGCCCCGGUCUUCGCGCGGAGGCCGGGGCGAGGAUUUGCAGCGUAAAGCCCGGGCCGCA